AACAGCAGCGGGCGGGCGCUCUGCGGCCACAAAAUGGCGGCGGUGGAAUCAAAGGCAGCAGAGCUGCGCGUGCCAAAUUCCCUCUUCCCUUCUCCUCCCAGCAACCCCCUUCUCGGGGGUCACUGCGGCCGCCCUACAAAAGGCCCAGCCGCAUCGCCAGCAAAGUCAGGGAGAUCCCGGCCCACUAUUCUACGUGUCCAGGAGAUGAAGACAUUAAGACUGGCAGGGACGGGCGCACAACCGCUGUGUAAAAACGACCCGAACAGUGACCGCCCUUUCACCUCAGUACCCCUCAAACAGUAUGCCAAAAGGGAGACGUGCCCCAGCGCCCACCUCGAAUCAACUGCGCUCAUUAGACGCCAUCCUCCGCAAAGAGAGCAGCCCCGGCCGCUCACGAUCUGAGCGGCCAUGAAGAAGCCUCGAUCCGAGAAGGCUUGCCCUCAAAGUGAGCCACUCACCUACCGGACGGGGUCUUUGGCGGCUGAGACCCAGACAGGUCCGUAGUCUGCGACGGAGUCGUCGACCUCCACGCAGACCAGGACUUAACUCGUCUACGCCACUCCACAACUGACGCACUUAGCAGCUCUGGCGCUCCACAAAAUGGAGGGCGCGUCCUACGUCACUUCCGGGGACGCCCCUGGGCCUUGGGUCCACCCCGUUGGACCUAGGGAAGACGGAAGUUUUGGGAGGGCCGGAAAUUUAGGAGGAUGUGGGCCUCUCUGACACUGCGAGUGACCGAACCCUGCUCCCGCGGUGGGUGGGGUCGGGGGCGAGAACUCGUUUGGGCUCGGCCGGCUGGUGCCGGAGUCUGGAGGGACAUCUGUUGACGUCGUUCGCCCCUGCUAAGUCCUUGGCGUUCGGUUCAUCAUCAUCUCUCCCAGAAGAGUCUCCUGAGAAAAGUGGCAACCCUUCUUGUAUCUAAAGUUUUUCUUAGACACCCAGAAGAUUACUAAUUAGGAGAAACUUAGCUUUGCAGAAAUACCUGGCCUUUCCUUAGCUCUUGCUGCUUGCAAUUUAAAUUUGCCCUCAAAGCAGGGAGCUCCUAGAUGUUCGAGUUCUUUUUUCAACCAUGCCACAGCUGUGUGGUUUUGUUGUGGUGAGAAGACUAAGGCACUGAAGUAUUUUUUAAAUGAAAGGAUUUUCACUGAUGAAAUGUUGAAAAUGGGACUGCAGCUAGAAGGCUGUCUUGAAUUGAGGCUGGAAUACAGAUUUCUGCAUGUCCGUCACUCUGGGAGAGUGGCUGGAAGAGGUUUCAAGCUGUUUUUUGUUGUUUUUUUUGAGACAGUCUUGCUCUGUCGCCCAGGCUGGAGUGCAGUGGCGCGAUCUGGGCUCCGCCUCCCGGGUUCACGCCAUUCUUCUGCCUCAGCCUCCCGAGUAGCUGCGACUACAGGCGCCCGCCACCACACCGGCUAAUUUUUUUGUAUUUUUAGU